rnacentral:rRNA from 1 species
GACGAACGCUGGCGGCGUGCCUAAUACAUGCAAGUCGAACGAAGUGGCGCACGGGUGAGUAAUAUAUAGUUAAUCUGCCCUACACAGAGGAACAACAGUUGGAAACGACUGCUAAUACCUCAUAGUGUAGGAUGAGAUUAUAUCGUAUCAGCUAGUUGGUAAGGUAAUGGCUUACCAAGGCUAUGACGCGUAACUGGUCUGCGAGGAUGAUCAGUCACAUUGGAACGUAGACAGGUGCCCAACUCCUUCGGGAGGCAGCAGUAAGGGAUAUUGCGCAAUGGGUGAAUCCCUGACGCAGCAACGCCGCGUGGAGGAUGACACUUUUCGGAGCGUAAACUCCUUUUAUCAGGAAAGCGGUACCUGAUGAAUAAGCACCGGCUAACUCCGUGCCAGCCGCCGCGGUAAUAC